rnacentral:rRNA from 1 species
GUGGGGAAUAUUGGACAAUGGGCGAAAGCCUGAUCCAGCCAUGCCGCGUGUGUGAAGAAGGUCUUCGGAUUGUAAAGCACUUUAAGUUGGGAGGAAGGGCAGUAAGUUAAUACCUUGCUGUUUUGACGUUACCGACAGAAUAAGCACCGGCUAACUUCGUGCCAGCAGCCGCGGUAAUACGAAGGGUGCAAGCGUUAAUCGGAAUUACUGGGCGUAAAGCGCGCGUAGGUGGUUUUGUAAGUUGGAGGUGAAAUCCCCGGGCUCAACCUGGGAACUGCCUCCAAAACUGCAUGGCUAGAGUACGGUAGAGGGUAGUGGAAUUUCCUGUGUAGCGGUGAAAUGCGUAGAUAUAGGAAGGAACACCAGUGGCGAAGGCGACUACCUGGACUGAUACUGACACUGAGGUGCGAAAGCGUGGGGAGCAAACAGGAUUAGAAACCCUUGUAGUCC